CGGCAACAGCUCAAAUUUGAAAUCUGGCCCUCUCAGGGUCCGAGUUGUAAUUUGGAGAGGAUGCUUCGGGUGUGGCCCCGGUCUAAGUUCCUUGGAACAGGACGUCACAGAGGGUGAGAAUCCCGUAUGCGCCGGGCGCCGCGCCCGUGUGAAGCUCCUUCGACUAGUCGAGUUGUUUGGGA
rnacentral:rRNA from 1 species